rnacentral:rRNA from 1 species
UGAUUCAGCGGCGGACGGGUGAGUAAUGCCUAGGAAUCUGCCCGAUAGUGGGGGACAACGUUUCGAAAGGAACGCUAAUACCGCAUACGUCCUACGGGAGAAAGUGGGGGAUCUUCGGACCUCACGCUAUCGGAUGAGCCUAGGUCGGAUUAGCUAGUUGGUGAGGUAAUGGCUCACCAAGGCGACGAUCCGUAACUGGUCUGAGAGGAUGAUCAGUCACACUGGAACUGAGACACGGUCCAGACUCCUACGGGAGGCAGCAGUGGGGAAUAUUGGACAAUGGGCGAAAGCCUGAUCCAGCCAUGCCGCGUGUGUGAAGAAGGUCUUCGGAUUGUAAAGCACUUUAAGUUGGGAGGAAGGGCAGUAAGCUAAUACCUUGCUGUUUUGACGUUACCAACAGAAUAAGCACCGGCUAACUUCGUGCCAGCAGCCGCGGUAAUACGAAGGGUGCAAGCGUUAAUCGGAAUUACUGGGCGUAAAGCGCGCGUAGGUGGUUCAGCAAGUUGGAUGUGAAAUCCCCGGGCUCAACCUGGGAACUGCAUCCAAAACUACUGAGCUAGAGUACAGUAGAGGGUGGUGGAAUUUCCUGUGUAGCGGUGAAAUGCGUAGAUAUAGGAAGGAACACCAGUGGCGAAGGCGACCACCUGGACUGAUACUGACACUGAGGUGCGAAAGCGUGGGGAGCAAACAGGAUUAGAUACCCUGGUAGUCCACGCCGUAAACGAUGUCAACUAGCUGUUGGGUUCCUUGAGAACUUAGUAGCGAAGCUAACGCGAUAAGUUGACCGCCUGGGGAGUACG